rnacentral:rRNA from 1 species
AUGACGACCGCCAGCCCCCGCCGCCGCCACCUCCGCCCCCGCUCGUCGGCGGCCGGGCCGCUGGAUGACGACGACCUCCUCUGUGAGAUCCUCCUACGCCUCCCCCCGCAGCCGUGCUCCCUCCCCCGCGCCUCCCUCGUCUGCAAGCGCUGGCGCAACCUCGCCUCCGACCCAGGCUUCUCCCGUCGCUUCCGCAUCCACCACCGCCGCAGCCCUCCCCUCCUCGGUUUCUUUGACAAUGAUCUCGGCUGCUCCUUCCUACCUACUCUGGAGGCGCCCAAUCGUGUCUCGCCCGGACGCUUCUCCUUGCAGUCCGGCGACCGAUUCCCCUUCCGGUGCCUUGGAUGCCGCCAUGGCCUCGUACUCGUCUUCGACCGGACGGACCUCAGUUUCCUCGUGUGGGAACCGUUGACCGGCGAACAGCACCGGCUAGCCUGCCGCCCGGGGUUUGAUCUGGCGGAGUUCGAUCCGGAGAGGGGCCGGAUCAACGGGGCGGUGCGUCGUGCUGGCCGAGGCGUCCAACACUUCCAGGUGGUCUUGGUAGUGGCAGGCGACGACGACACAAAGCAAAGGCGAGCGUUUGCUUGCGUUUACUCGUCGGAGACCGGCGCAUGGGGUAAUGUCAUGUCAACAUUGAUUAAGUUCAAGUUUAUGGUCGUUUUUCCCAGCAGAUUUCAUACAGUGCCUGCUGUGCUGGCUGGGGAUUCCCUUUACUGGAUACUUGCUGGGAUUUCAUCAAGCAGCGUUGGUUUUGAUUUUCAUGCGGAGUGGCAAAUCCUUGAGUUUGAUUUGGAGCGGCAGAAGCUAGCUGUGAUACAGACGCCAGCGAUGGCGAAAGUUCCUCGCAAAGACCGCUUCACAGUCGUGCGGGGAGAUGGUGGUGGGCUGGGUUUGCUCAUCUUGAAAGACUUCACUGCCCAAUUAUGGAAGAGGAAGAUGGAUUCUGAUGGUGUUGCUUCAUGGGAAUUGGAAAAAACUAUUGAUCUGAAUAAGCUUCUUUCCCUGAAUUUAGACAAGAUGAGCUGCGUAAGGAUGCUACGAUUUGCCGAGGACAAUAAUUUGCUGGUCCUGCACACCUAUUUCGGUCUCUUCACGGUCCAGCUUCAGUCAUUGCAGUUCAAGAAACUUUCCGGAAAGAAGAAGCUUUCUCAAUGUCAUCCAUUCGAAAGUGUCUACACUGUAGAAACAGGCAUUGGAGGUGGACAUGGUGAAGCUAAUCUUUUGCAAAAUGCUUAA